rnacentral:tRNA from 1 species
GGAGGGUUGGCCGAGUGGCUUAUGGCGCGAGUCCCGAAAACUCGUGGACGAAAGUCCUCACAGGUUCGAAUCCUGUACCCUCCG